rnacentral:ncRNA from 1 species
CCUAUUGUUUCGUCAAUAGUAGCCUAAGAGCAGGUGCGACAUCAGUUGUGCUAAGCUGCUCUGAAAAGGUAACCCUCCCGAAAGGGGAAGAAUGAACCGUGAGGGAAUUUCAACGACCGCAAGCGUUAUGCAGUCUGGGGG